GUUCCGGGGUUCUUUGUUUUCCUUGUGGGAGUCUGUUUGCUGCUUCUCACCAUCUAGCCACCAGAUAGCGCCAGACUCACCUCUCUCCGGAGUGGUGUGUCGUCAUCCUGCGCACCUGAGAUCAAUCUGCUCGUCAGGCGAGGUGUACAAGAGGAGCUGACUGCCAGUACUUCGAUGCCUGAGUGUUAGCCAGUAACGGUCCUCCUGGAUUUCCUGGUUGGCAGUCACGCCGUCCCUCCGUCACCACUGCAUCUGAGCCUACCUGUCCGUCCUCUGUUCCACUUCCUCGUUGCCUUCUGGACUUCUGUGGCUGAGCUCUGGACUAUCUGGACCCACAAAGUGACCAAGUCCCCGGACACUUCAGCAAACCCCUCCUAAACUCCGAACCUCCGUCUAACAAUGAGCCGAGCGUUUCUGUGAGCCCGCUUCUCCCCUGGACGAGACCCGUCGCUUCACUAUUUUUUUCUAGUUUGUGUUCUCAAUAAACUCACUUCAUUAUAUACGUGUCUCCUGUGUUGUGUUCUGCAUGUGGGCUGGAAAUAUUGAACCCAUCA